AGAGUUUGAUCCUGGCUCAGAAUCAACGCUGGCGGCGUGCCUAACACAUGCAAGUCGAACGAGAAAGGGGAGCAAUCCCUGAGUAAAGUGGCGACCGGGUGAGUAACACGUGACUAACCUACCUUCGAGUGGGGGAUAACCUAGGGAAACCUGGGCUAAUACCGCAUAAUAUCUUUGGAGUGGAAAUUCUGGAGAUCAAAAGAGCAAUUUGCUUGAAGAGGGGGUCGCGGCUGAUUAGCUAGUUGGCGGGGUAAUGGCCCACCAAGGCUUUGAUCGGUAGCCGGCCUGAGAGGGCGCACGGCCACACUGGAACUGAAACACGGUCCAGACUCCUACGGGAGGCAGCAGUGGGGAAUUUUGCGCAAUGGGGGAAACCCUGACGCAGCAACGCCGCGUGGAGGAUGAAGUCCCUUGGGACG
rnacentral:rRNA from 1 species